rnacentral:lncRNA from 1 species
GCCGUCCUAUUUAUAUAGAGGAUAGAACAGGGAUGUCUUAUGCUGCUAUAUUUUUGCUUAUGUAGACAUUAUGGCAGAUCUCAAUUUUUCUCUAGAAUCUGUGGAGGAUUUUUUUUCCCAGAAAAUGGUAGUGAAGCAUAAAAUUUUUUGAAAGCAUAGGAUGCAGCAUAUCAAGUAGAUGAUAUGAUUGAAUCCCAUGUUUCGAAUCAGAUUCAUACAAAAUUGGAAAUUUUCUUCAAGCGAUUGAUUUAUGCUCUUCAAAAUCUGAUUUCUUCUAGCAGGAUUCGUCUUUUGGGUAUGAAUAUAAGCAGAAACUGAUUCGAUUACAGAGAAGAUGAGGACAGGUGUUGGUUAAAAGGUUUUGCUAAGGGAUUCUUUGCCUGGUUUAUCAAGCCUUUUAUGAGAAAAAUAUAGUGGUGUUUGAUGAUGAGUUGAUUCAACUAAUGGGUUGGGUUUUUGGCUGCAAUCGGAACUCCAAAUCAUCCUAGUUUUUGGGAUGGAAAGCAUGGUAAGACUAAUCUUGCUGUAAAUCGGAUCAAAUUACAACCUGGAGAUGCUGAAACAGCAAAUUAAUGCCUUCCGAAGACCGGAAUGGGAUUCAAUUGAAAGGGAAUUCUGUAAACUAGAAUUCCUUCAUAUUGAAUGGGCAGAUCUAGCGCAUAGAGUCAGAUAAACAUCCAUUUUCUGAGCCUUCAGUGCCUGAUUCUUAGCUGCUGCUUCACAAUGGUAAAGAUCUUUUGGGCUACUAGCUUGAACUACCAGUUGGGUGCUCAUUAAAAAGAUAACCUCAAAUGUGGCUGCCCUCCUUUCUUGGGAAGAUGUGAUGAAAAUUCUGAAAUGUACAACUGUGGAAUGGUUUCUGCACUUGCGCUUUGCCUUCAAAGGUAAAAGCUCCUUCUGCCUAAAAACUACAACUUUCUUGAUCUUAAAUAAAAUUAAGAUAAAAUGAUCAGAGUAAAUCUGGAAUUCCCAAUGCUGUCGAACUUCAAAUAUUUUAUAGUUUUGGGUGCAAUUUUUGCUUUAUUUCCUCUAUAUUAGCUUGUCCUAUAAUAUGCUAGUGGAUCUGUGGAUGCACAUGAGAACCAGUUAUUUUUCCAAUUUUUUUCCCCCGAUGGAUUAAUAAUCAUUUUAUGUUGAGGAUUGGUCAAGUAUUAAAUCUAACCAUGCUUAUGACCUUGUAUUAGAGAACCUCGUUUUAGUACACCAAAUUUUCAACCUAAUUAAAGUGGCUGCCAAAAAAUUUCAUAAGCAUCCACAACAAAACAAAACCCGUAAUCAUGUUGUAAACUUCCGAGGGAGAUCAUUUCUGAGCUUAACCGACUUAUUUCAGUCUUGUUUCCCUUUUUUGCUUUCUUUCUCCUUUUUUUUCCUUUUUUUUUUUGUAUGAGGUGACUAAAGUCAAGCUUGAGUUUAUGAUAUGUUCUAUUGGUUGCAUCCCGUAUGGUGGAUUUAUUUUGUUUUUAUUGUUGUACCACAGUGGAUCGAGAGAAAGUUUAGAUGCUUUGAAAAUUAAGUAUAACUAAAAUAAUAUUUAUAACAAUAUGGAUUUAAUAAAAAUUGUCAGUUAUUGAUUAUGAUCUAUGCCUUUGUGUCAAUUGCAUGCUGAAGCAAUCCAUUACUCUAUGCCUUUGUGUCAAUUGCAUGCUGAAGCAAUCCAUUACUCUGUGUUUUUCUUUGUUCUUGUAGGAUGAUAAUUUGGAAGAUUUUGCAGGCCAAACUAUCUCAAAAUUUCUCCUUAUACUCUCUUGGCUGCGGACAGACCAUUGUUUUCCACGCUGUCCAUCACUGCUGCAAAUGAAUUCUUCAACAGUCUCUGGCUGUUUUUCAUCAGUAAGAACUAUAGGGCUAGAAGAGUUUCUUUCACUUGAUAAUCCUAAGAUAUAAUCCAAGAACGAGUGCUGCAGUGAAGAACUACACAAGGAUCAUUAUGAAGAUUUCUAGCAAGAAUAGUCUUACCAAUGCCUCCCAUCCCAAUAACUGGGAUGAUUUGGAGUUUCAAUUGUAGCCAAUGAGCCAACCAUGAUUUGGAUCAAGUCAUCAUCAAAUCCCACCAUAGAUAUCCUUUCCUCAAUAUUUAAGUCUUGAUGAACCCAAAGCAAGUAGUUCGUAGUAGUAGAUCCUUUAACCCACACCUGUCCUGUAACCCAAUCAAUUUCGUAUUUCACUUUCUUUCUCCAAGUCUUCACAUUUGUGCCCUAAAACAUGAUUCCUGGUUGCCGAAUUAGGUUUUGGACUGCCAGCAUAAAUUAAUCGCUUGAAGGAAAUUCCGAUUCCAAAUGAAUUUGACUUGAAUUAUGGUAUUCAAUUAUAUCUUCUGCUUGAGAUGCUGCAUCUUUGAUAUGGCUUUCUAAACAUUUUCAUGUUUCUCUGCAAUUUUCAAUAAAAUAAUCUUCCCCAAAUUUUAGCAAAAAAUGAUUUUUCUAUUUAAGCAUUUAAUAUGUUGCUUCUUGCAAAGAAUUCAAUGCUCUGACCAACGUGGGUUUGAUCGAAGUUUAUAAGCACUUUUGAGUGCCCUCAGUGUGAGGGGGUUUCGAAGUUGACUUGGAAAGGGCUAUUUCAUUAGAAGAUGCCCAAGCAGAAAAAAUGGGGCUUUGAUGUAUUUGUGAAAGCGAUGGAUUGUAAAUGUAACUUAUGAAUCUCUUAUUGCUCUCAACUUUUGUAAAGAAUUUGAGUACUUGACGUCUACAUAUUGAUUUUUAAGGUGAAUUUCGCGUAAAGUUCUAUUGCUAGUAACAUAAUAUUGAUCAGUUCACAUGAAAUAUUUGACAUGCGAAGUUUUGUGCGAUUGAAGAUAUAAAAAAAAA